UACGGAGGGUGCAAGCGUUAUCCGGAUUCACUGGGUUUAAAGGGAGCGUAGGUGGGAAUGUAAGUCAGUGGUGAAAUCUCCGUGCUUAACACGGAACUGCCAUUGAUACUAUGUUUCUUGAAUUUUCGGAGGUUUAGCGGAAGUAUGUCAUGUAGCGGUGAAAAUGCUUAGAUAUGACAUAGAACACCAAUUGCGAAGGCAGCUGGCUACAGGUAUAUUGACACUGAGGCUCGAAAGC
rnacentral:rRNA from 1 species